AUACAAAAAAAAAACAAGAAAAGUAAAUCGCAUCAUUCUGGUGGGGUGUUUAUUCCUUGCUUUUGCUUUUCUUUUUUCAGAAAAGAGGAACAUGUAUGAUUCAGAAGUUGGUGGUCGACAGUUGGUUUUCACAAAAUGGGCAGGUUCAUGAUGAAGAAUCUUAUCUUGUCCCUUUACCCAUGAUGUCCAUGACCCAAUCCCUGCUGGCCUUGACCCCAGCCCUGGUUGACUCAGAGAGCAUCCAUUGCACUUGCAGAUAGAUGGAACCUUGUGCCUGGAGAGCAAAUUGUACUCAGGCAAGAUCCUCUAAGGUUGAGGGUUCUUUCUCUUUAGCCGUUCUCUGUGCUCCACCAGGUCCAUCUUCACUCUUUUUAUUCUUAUAAUCAUUAGGUCGCAGUUCAUGACCAACAUCCCGCACCCAGCUGGCGGCAUAAAGCCUAGAAGCCUUCUUUAACACCAAAAACCAUUCCCGCAUGGUGAGCUGACGCCGCUUCUUGAUAUGAGAAGGGUCCGGCAGCGAAGAUGGAAAUGCAAUCUCUUUCAGAUCAUAACGAAUGUAAUCAUACACUUUCCAACACACCACCCGGACCUUCAUUUAUGUGGCGCCAUUAAUGUCUCUCACGUUGUGAUGUGGCGCCGUUAACGUCUCUCACGCCGUUAAUGCUCAGCUAGCGGCGAUACCCUCAACGUCCUCAAACCUGAAAAUCGGGUUGGUAAAUUUCCGUUUAAUAAAUUCCCCUCAAGAUCAAGCACUUCUAGCUUCUCCAACCCCCAAACUUCCUUCGGAAUUUCGCCACUAAGUUCAUUGAAAGGCAGCGAUAAAACUCUAAGCUCACUGAGCUUUCCCACCCAAGACGAAACCUUUCCACCCAAUUUUCUACUAACUAAACUUUUCCUCCAAAUACUGAACCCAUCGUACGAGAAUUGAAAUUUCACACUCUGAGAGCAAGAGAUAGCUUGAAAAUUACCUCAUUUGGCACCGCUACUGGCGAGACUGAGCGAAACGACCCUCGAUUUGGUGUCUCAUGAGACCCCAACCCACGAACAGUGGUGAUCGAAGCUGUUGGACCUCCAGCCGAAGAGAACUUCAUCCGGGUCAGAAACCGAGCUCUUGAUCUCGAGCAAAAUCGACUUCUCAAAAAAUAGCGCCUCCCCAGAAACGCUACUCCUUAAGCAGAAGACGUUGAGAAAAAGCGCGAUUUUGAAAUGCAAAUGGCAUUUCAUCUUCUCGGGAACAAAGGACUCGGGGGCUUUGGUGUUUCUAUCUUCUCGUUGCCCUCUCCGCUAAGAAUGGCGGCCUGAACUAUAGCACCUUAGGCAUCACCAUCCCCACCAAGAAGGAACAUGUAUUCUCAACCUACUCCGACAACCAGUCCAGAGUCUUGAUCCAGGUGUAUAAAGGAGAGAGAAUCAGGACCAGGGACAACAACUUGCUCGGAAAAUUCGAGCUCUCCGAAAUCCCAACUGCACCCAGAGGAGUACCCCAGAUCACCGUCCGCUUUGAUAUUGACGCUAACGGUAUCUUGAAUGUCUCUACGGAGGACAAGACCACCAGACAGAUCUGUAGCUUUUGUUGAGGACUGUGAAAAGCAAAAGAUAAGCUUAGCUUGUAGCUUUGGAAAUCAUAGUGUUAGUUGGGGUGAAAUCUUUGUGAAAUCAUUUUUGUUGUGGAGUCCUUUUUGUUGGGGAUUGUGAAAUCCUUGCGGAGGAUAAGAGUGUUUGAGAUUUGGAUCUUUUCUGUUUCUGGGUUUUUUGUGAUUUUGCAGAUUCACGGUGGUGAGAUGAAAAAAUGAAAGAGAACCGACA